UACGUAGGGCGCAAGCGUUGUCCGGAAUUAUUGGGCGUAAAGAGCUCGUGGGCGGCUUGUCACGUCGGAUGUGAAAGCCCGGGGCUUAACCCCGGGUCUGCAUUCGAUACGGGCUAGCUAGAGUGUGGUAGGGGAGAUCGGAAUUCCUGGUGUAGCGGUGAAAUGCGCAGAUAUCAGGAGGAACACCGGUGGCGAAGGCGGAUCUCUGGGCCAUUACUGACGCUGAGGAGCGAAAGCGUGGGGAGCGAACAGG
rnacentral:rRNA from 1 species